rnacentral:misc_RNA from 1 species
GAUGAAGAACGCAGCAAAAUGCGAUAGUAAUGUGAAUUGCAGAAUUCAGUGAAUCAUCGAAUCUUUGAACGCACAUUGCGCCCGCCAGUAUUCUGGCGGGCAUGCCUGUUCGAGCGUCAUUUCAACCCUCAAGCACAGCUUGGUGUUGGGACUCGCGUUAAUUCGCGUUCCCCAAAUUGAUUGGCGGUCACGUCGAGCUUCCAUAGCGUAGUAGUAAAACCCUCGUUACUGGUAAUCGUCGCGGCCACGCCGUUAAACCCCAACUUCUGAAUGUUGACCUCGGAUCAGGUAGGAAUACCCGCUGAACUUAAGCAUAUCAAUAAGCAGGA